ACCCGCUGAACUUAAGCAUAUCAAUAAGCGGAGGAAAAGAAACCAACAGGGAUUGCCUCAGUAACGGCGAGUGAAGCGGCAAGAGCUCAAAUUUAAAAGCCGACGUAGCUUUAAGAGACGUCCGCAUUGUAAUUUGAAGAGGCAUUCUCGGGUCGGGGCUCAGGCCUAAGUUCCUUGGAAGAGGGCGUCGUGGAGGGUGAGAACCCCGUUCGCGGCCUGCUGUCGACCUUUCCCCGAUCCACACGAGGUGCCAUCGAAGAGUCGAGUUGUUUGGGAAUGCAGCUCAAAGCGGGUGGUAAAUUCCAUCUAAAGCUAAAUAUUGACGGGAGACCGAUAGCGAACAAGUAGAGUGAUCGAAAGAUGAAAAGAACUUUGAAAAGAGAGUGAAAAGUACCUGAAAUCGUCCAGUGGCAAGGGUAUAGGAAACCUGUUAGCCGGCCUUCUAGGUCGGUGUCGAUCGGACAGGUUGGCCUUUCCCGGUGGUCCGCCGAGCAUUCCGGUUUUACCGGCGUGUCAGCGAGGCCGAUACGGUGAAUGGGCCGACUGGUCUAUGCCACUCUUCGCUCGGGUGUCGCAGUGUGUGGCUGGUGUGCGGGAGCAUCUGUCUCUUCGGAGGUGGUUCUCACGUGUGCUAGCUUUGCGCCACGAUGCCCGAAGCUCGGUAUGGCUUCCGAUUAGUAAAUGAUCUU
rnacentral:rRNA from 1 species